rnacentral:misc_RNA from 1 species
GAUGAAGAACGUAGCGAAAUGCGAUAAGUAAUGUGAAUUGCAGAAUUCAGUGAAUCAUCGAAUCUUUGAACGCACAUUGCGCCCGCCAGUAUUCUGGCGGGCAUGCCUGUUCGAGCGUCAUUACAACCCUUAGGCCCCCGGGCCUGGCGUUGGGGAUCGGCGGAAGCCCCCUGCGGGCACAACGCCGUCCCCCAAAUACAGUGGCGGUCCCGCCGCAGCUUCCAUUGCGUAGUAGCUAACACCUCGCAACUGGAGAGCGGCGCGGCCACGCCGUAAAACACCCAACUUCUGAAUGUUGACCUCGAAUCAGGUAGGAAUACCCGCUGAACUUAAGCAUAUCAAUAAGCGGAGGA